GCCCAGCCGUCAGGAUGGUUUUGUGAGCCCUGCCGGAGAUCACAGUCCCACACGGACAGCUGCAGCUACAAAGCACCCCAGUGACCUAGAUUCAGCUCUAGAUUACUGUGUGCUUUGGCCUCUGCCUCCCAUCACUGCACCAGGAGCCUGAUUUUGUUGCACAAGCUAACUUGCUUACUGCUCUGACCCAUUUUACCAUGGCAACCUGGUUUGCUGUACCAGAGGCUAGAAAAAGCACACAGGCGACUUUUUCAGGAUUCCAAGAUUAAGUUCACUCUCUGCUCUUCUAUUUUUUUCUUCACUGCCCUCCUUCUCCCUCAAGAAUGUGUUUACCAGACAUGAUGGAGAAGAACUAAUGUUUUCCAACAGCACUGGAAGCCAGGAAAAGAUUUAGGUGUCUACUCAUUAAUCAGUGAUUAAAAAAUACCUGUCAAGGCUGAUGUCUGAAGACAGCUGUAGUAAGCUGGUUUGCACUGGCUUCAAGACAGCAGACCAUUUCUAACCCAGUAUGAAGACAGAACAGCACAUACAGACAGUACCAAGAUCAGGGUACCUUCCAAAGAAGUCAAACGCAUUACAGGGAUCCAAAAUUUGAGCAUGAAAGAGGAAACUGAAGAGUGCCUGGUCCAAAUCCCACUGAAUUAGUGCCAAACUCAUCCUUGACCACAGUAAGACCCAAACUGGAGCAAAAGAAAGUUAAAACUAAAAGAAGGCACCAGAUCAAUGUGGAUCCUGCCAGGCUCUCUUAUAAAGAGUAUGUGACUCUUUGUGAAACCGAAAGGAAUUAAUACACGGAGGCUGGAAGUUCAAAAAUUCCUGCAAGAAACAGCUUGGGAAGAAGGACUUUUGCAACAGCAUUUUUAGAUUUGUUUACAAAGCAAGAGCAGGUGCAAGUCCAGCUUGACAAAAACAACAAAAAUUCUGCAUGUUUGCAAGUUCUAAGUACUGCAGUACUGAAGCACCCAACUGCUCAGACCUUGAAGAAUUCUGCUGGAUAGAACAUCACAUUUAUGAUCUAUCGAUAUGGAAUGAAGGUUGUCAGCAAUACACAAGACUCAUACUUACAUUCAAUGGAGCAUGAAAUCUCCAACUGACAAGAGCAAGAUGCCAAACUGGACAGAAAGAAGUCAGGUUCAGAGAACACAAGUUCAGUAAUAAUGGAUAAGGCUGAUGCAUGGGGUCAGAAGAAUAAAGACGAUCUCAGCCUUGGUACAUCCCAUCACAGCCAGCCUAUACUUUCGACCACACAGUAGCAUAGCCAAAAGUUGCUGGAAUCUACUUACCUUUUUCUGACUAUUUAGAAUGAAGGACUUCUACACAUAACACAAUGUUGCAAGCUCACAUUCUGAGUUCAUUGUCUGAUUUGAUGCAAUAAAGAAAAGUUCCAUCAGCUGCACAUCAGCAGUGCCAUAACUAGCCCAAGAUGUUGCUUUAUGGCUUAGUUUUGUUUCAUUUUUCAAAAGAUUAGUGAGAGUGGUCUGACUGAUGUCAUUCAAUACAUGCUGCAAAUACUGAAAUUUUAAUAUUAAAAUUCUAUAAUGCAGCUCUGCCCAGAUGUUAUUAGAAAUAGACUGUUGUUUUCUUUAUUUGUGUAUUUUUAUUUGGCAGCUCUUAUAAGCAUUCCUGUAAGUAAAAAGUAAAAAUUCCAUACCUUUAAAUCAUAGAUGUCUGGGAUUGCUGCACUCAGUGUUGUGCAGAGGGUUUACACAGUACAUGAACGGGUGCCUGUAAAUGUGAGCUGAGCAAGAAGCCCUCCAUGCACCUCCCAGGAGCAAGGCAGCAAGUGUGUCAGUGACAGUACAGAAAAAACCUUUCCAUGCCUGUAUCUGGAGCUCUCACAAAUCUAACAUAACAGUACCAGCAGAUUACAGCACUCAAGAAACGUGAAGGCAAUAAAGAGGUCAUGCAAAUGGAAAGAUAUUUAAAGACUUCUGAAUAAGAUUUUUGUUUCUCCUUAACAGAUGAAUUCAAGCAACUUUAUAGCAAGGCAGAAAGGCUUUGCCUGCGAGAAAGUUUUGCUUGUGACAGAUAAAAUGAGGAAGGAUUUGUUAGGUGAUUUGUUUGAUCUGUAGAGGUUAUAAAGGGUAUAUCAAACUAAUAAUUCAAAUUUCUAGUGAUCACUGGUUUUAUUUCUGUGUUUGUGUUAGAAAAUAAGUCAGGAAGCUACUUCUCUAAUAGCACAUUUGAACUGGUAUCAGUCACUGCUUGACUGGCCUGUGUAUUUCACAAAAGGUGGCUCUGUGAGGUGCAUAUUUUUCCUACUCACUGUAAGCAGCUGAAUAUGAGACUUUUUAAAAUGACAUUGAAGAGACAUAAACAUCAAGCAUGGUACUGAGGAAUGCCAGGAACAAGAAUUGAAGACUGACUGCCUAUAAAACCUAAACAAAUGUUUCCACCAGUAAAAUGGGUAAAACAGUUUCAGAAACAUGAUGCAAUUAACAGUUGCUUAUGAAUGUGCAAUGGUUUACUACAGUUCUUCUCAAAUCAGUGCCUUGAAUUUUCUUGCAAUUUUGGGAGUCAGGUCACAUAUCUUCUUGGCAGAUAGUGUGUGGGUAUCUUAGCAAUGAUUGCAUUUCCUGGAGCAUACCAUACACUCACUGCAACAUAGCACAAGUGUGAAAGAGGGUUAUUAUCAGGCUUAACUCAGUAACUCCUGUGGGUGGAACCAUUAUAAAAAUGAAUCAUUUAACACUCUGCAGCAUUACUGCACAUCCAGCUUCUCUGUCCAGUCAGUUUCACUACUACAAUCCACUAUUAUCGCUGCUUUGGGCAGAAACUCUACUUCCAGUUGUUGAACAUCUAUGAUUAUGUGUACAUUUUUGUCUUCUAUAGUAUGUUGCAAAAUGCCUAGCCCUUCAGCUGUUACAACUGUUUGCAGUGCUGUCUUAUCAGCCAGGUAAGAAAUCUUCCCUUCCAAAUGAUUAUUGAUUUCAGGACAAAGCAAAAUAUAUUAAAACUCCCUACAAUAGCUGCUUUACUGUUUUUUGUUGGAUCAGCUGAUUUUCUUUAAUACUUUGUUUCCAUUAGGGUCGAACUUUUAUAGUUGGUGUCACUGUUUUCUGUCUCAAAUAUGAUUUUAAAAAAAUAAAUAAAAGGAUUUAUAUUUCUG